CACACUGGACUGAGACACGGUCCAGACUCCUACGGGAGGCAGCAGUGGGGAAUAUUGCACAAUGGGCGCAAGCCUGAUGCAGCCAUGCCGCGUGUGUGAAGAAGGCCUUCGGGUUGUAAAGCACUUUCAGUCGUGAGGAAGGUAGUGUAGUUAAUAGCUGCAUUAUUUGACGUUAGCGACAGAAGAAGCACCGGCUAACUCCGUGCCAGCAGCCGCGGUAAUACGGAGGGUGCGAGCGUUAAUCGGAAUUACUGGGCGUAAAGCGCAUGCAGGUGGUUUGUUAAGUCAGAUGUGAAAGCCCGGGGCUCAACCUCGGAAUWGCAUUUGAAACUGGCAGACUAGAGUACUGUAGAGGGGGGUAGAAUUUCAGGUGUAGCGGUGAAAUGCGUAGAGAUCUGAAGGAAUACCGGUGGCGAAGGCGGCCCCCUGGACAGAUACUGACACUCAGAUGCGAAAGCGUGGGGAGCAAACAGGAUUAGAUACCCUGGUAGUCCACGCCGUAAACGAUGUCUACUUGGAGGUUGUGGCCUUGAGCCGUGGCUUUCGGAGCUAACGCGUUAAGUAGACCGCCUGGGGAGUAC
rnacentral:rRNA from 1 species